AUGGUGAAGGAUCCUGAGACCCUGUCAUGUGAGGAUCAGAUGAGGAAAAGAGGACACAAACUGGAGAAGAGAAGACCAAAAACAUGGAGCAGAAUUCAAUUCAGGGAUGACAUGGUAGAGUACAAGAUGAUAGCAACUUCUUGAGGAAGAGAAGGUGCGAUGGCUGGGAGAAGCUAGGCAAGAGACUCAAGACAGGGUAGUUUAAUAGAAGAUCAUGAGGCACUGAGAAUACAGAAAGGAGCAUGACUUUCUGGGGAGAAACCAGUCUUCCGACCCCUCACUUACGGUGCCAUGAACCAGGAAUUACACCCUUCCUCUAGUCUAACAUGUCAACACACUGGAAUAAAGUUCUGAUCACACUUUCCUUCUCA
rnacentral:lncRNA from 1 species